rnacentral:pre_miRNA from 1 species
UGACUUUGGUCAAAGUCAAACUGCUUCAAGUUUGACUAAGUUUGUAGAGAAAAUAAUAAUAUUUUCAACUCAAGACAAAUUUAUUAUGAAAACAUAUUCAAUUAUUGAUUUAAUGAAACUAAUUUGAUAUUAUAAAUAUAACUAUAUUUGUCUAUAAACUUAGUUAAACUAGAAGCAGUUUGACUUUGACCAAAGUCAA